rnacentral:lncRNA from 10 species
GCGGCUGCUGCUACACGUGCGCCAGCCAGAGGAACGAGAGCUGCGGCGGCACCUUCGGGAUUUACGGAACCUGCGACCGGGGGCUGCGUUGUGUCAUCCGCCCCCCGCUCAAUGGCGACUCCCUCACCGAGUACGAAGCGGGCGUUUGCGAAGCUGCGGGGUAUUGAAUUUGAGGCUGCUCUCAGCAUUACUGCUCAUCUCAAAGAGGAACAAAUGGUCCCCCAAAUGGUCCAGAUGCAACAGUAGGGAAAGGAGUGCCACCAUUCAUUCUGAGGUGCCUGGGCCAUACUCUGGAUGAAGCUCACAGCUCUAACGUAAGGCGGUAAGUCAUUUUUUUUUUAAACUUAAGGAAGUUAAUUUGAAAGUUUAUGCUGAUGCCAUUUCAUAUGACAGAGACUAAAGGGUAUACGUCCUUGUGUUCUCUUGGUGGGGACUGCUGUCCUAAAGGUAAAAGAUUUUGAUCCAGAGGUUGGAUUGUUCCUCGUGUGGCAACAGUCCUCUGACCUCAGUCAUUUUCAAAGUCUAAUGUCUUUUUGGCUAACAAAAGACAUCAAGCUAGAGAUUAAAAUUUGCAGAAGAUGGGAGUUUUUUUGUUGUUUUCGGUUUUUUUUUUUUUUUUUUUUGAGACGGAGUCUCACUCUGUCACCCAGGCUGGAGUGCAGGUGAUCAUAUCUACAAAGGUGACAAGAACAUGAACCUG